GCGGCGGACGGGUGAGUAAUGCCUAGGAAAUUGCCCUGAUGUGGGGGAUAACCAUUGGAAACGAUGGCUAAUACCGCAUGAUGCCUACGGGCCAAAGAGGGGGACCUUCGGGCCUCUCGCGUCAGGAUAUGCCUAGGUGGGAUUAGCUAGUUGGUGAGGUAAGGGCUCACCAAGGCGACGAUCCCUAGCUGGUCUGAGAGGAUGAUCAGCCACACUGGAACUGAGACACGGUCCAGACUCCUACGGGAGGCAGCAGUGGGGAAUAUUGCACAAUGGGCGCAAGCCUGAUGCAGCCAUGCCGCGUGUGUGAAGAAGGCCUUCGGGUUGUAAAGUACUUUCAGUCGUGAGGAAGGCAGUGUAGUUAAUAGCUGCAUUAUUUGACGUUAGCGACAGAAGAAGCACCGGCUAACUCCGUGCCAGCAGCCGCGGUAAUACGGAGGGUGCGAGCGUUAAUCGGAAUUACUGGGCGUAAAGCGCAUGCAGGUGGUUUGUUAAGUCAGAUGUGAAAGCCCGGGGCUCAACCUCGGAAUAGCAUUUGAAACUGGCAGACUAGAGUACUGUAGAGGGGGGUAGAAUUUCAGGUGUAGCGGUGAAAUGCGUAGAGAUCUGAAGGAAUACCGGUGGCGAAGGCGGCCCCCUGGACAGAUACUGACACUCAGAUGCGAAAGCGUGGGGAGCAAACAGGAUUAGAUACCCUGGUAGUCCACGCCGUAAACGAUGUCUACUUGGAGGUUGUGGCCUUGAGCCGUGGCUUUCGGAGCUAACGCGUUAAGUAGACCGCCUGGGGAGUACGGUCGCAAGAUUAAAACUCAAAUGAAUUGACGGGGGCCCGCACAAGCGGUGGAGCAUGUGGUUUAAUUCGAUGCAACGCGAAGAACCUUACCUACUCUUGACAUCCAGAGAACUUUCCAGAGAUGGAUUGGUGCCUUCGGGAACUCUGAGACAGGUGCUGCAUGGCUGUCGUCAGCUCGUGUUGUGAAAUGUUGGGUUAAGUCCCGCAACGAGCGCAACCCUUAUCCUUGUUUGCCAGCGAGUAAUGUCGGGAACUCCAGGGAGACUGCCGGUGAUAAACCGGAGGAAGGUGGGGACGACGUCAAGUCAUCAUGGCCCUUACGAGUAGGGCUACACACGUGCUACAAUGGCGCAUACAGAGGGCGGCCAACUUGCGAAAGUGAGCGAAUCCCAAAAAGUGCGUCGUAGUCCGGAUUGGAGUCUGCAACUCGACUCCAUGAAGUCGGAAUCGCUAGUAAUCGUGGAUCAGAAUGCCACGGUGAAUACGUUCCCGGGCCUUGUACACACCGCCCGU
rnacentral:rRNA from 1 species